CAACCACAGGUGCACCUUUCUGCAGUUCUCGGAUUCUAUCUACGACGCGGCAGACUCAUUAUUACAACCUCUUCAAACACUCUUUAAACCCAACAACUUUAAAACCAUAGAAACCAAAACAACGAUGAUGGUGAAGAAGUAGUUGACGAGGAAAUUUUAAUGAAGGCGUUGGAGAUUACGAGAAAAGGGACAGCUGAGAUAUUCAAGCAGGCAAUGAGACAAAAUUGAUAUAGGUGUUCAAGAUGAUGGCAAAGCAUUAGCAAAUAAGCUUUUGAAGUUUCCUCCUUUACUAACAUACAGCCUUUACAAGAAAAUCCGGCCACUGGUUAGUCGUUUUUGCAUUCUUGUUUUCCUCAUUUCUCAAUUUACAGUGUUAAAUUUUCGGCUUUUUUGCCCUCUCUUGAGAUGGCCAUUUUUUAGUCAAUUUAUACUGUUGAAUGCACAGAAAGAGGGGUUAAAAUUUUGUAUCCCAUUCUUAUGACAUCUUCAACUUGGUGUUUUCUGUGGAGUAGACCAGUAGAUCUUUCUGGUAAUAUCUAAUAGCUGUUGCAAGAAGAGUCCUCGAUUUGGCCAACUCACUUGCACCAAGUGAUCUAAGUAGUAUCAAUUAAUCGCUUGUAGCCUGUUGAAACUUCUGCUUAGGUCAUAUUCUUGAUGACCAAAAAGCUGGAGUCAGUGAGAAAGAUAUAAUAGGAGAAGUUAUUAUUGCCAAUUGGAAAUCUAGAGCACUGAGAAAGAUGAAACAUUGGCACGCUUUUCAACAGUGAUUUAAAUAAGAUAUUUGGUACAAA